rnacentral:sRNA from 1 species
AAAUAACAAAUGUAUAUAACUUAUGUUACCAUAAAAUUUCGUUCUUAAUCUAAUGAAAUGUAGCAUCCCGUCGAACCCUUGACCGCAAAAUGGGAUUGGUGGAUUUUCUGGUUUUUUCGCACACCAUUUUCGUAUUACCACUGCUGGCGCCCCUUUUUUUGCCCCGUUGCAUGCCCACAUCACCCACUGUGCCAUCACAGUAAAUAUUGUGGCUUAGAGGAUUUACAGGCGUUGUUGCUGUCAUCGUUCCUGCCGUUGUUGUUGUUGUUGAUUCGUUAUCCUGCCAACGUUGUUGUCAUGUAGUUUGGCUUUUUGAAUAAAGACAUUCUACUUUGCAGGCUUUUUGCGGCCCAUAAUCAAAAUGAACUUUUUUUUUUGCUUAGGUGGCGGGGGUAAUGUGUGCGCGUUGUACUACAUAGUGCCAUACAUCACAAGCCUAACUAAGUUACGUGGCGUAAUUGAGAGCGCGCAGCUUCCAUUGAAAGUCAAUUAGUUGUUGUGGCGGGCGAAAAAAAA